AGAGUUUGAUCAUGGCUCAGAACGAACGCUGGCGGCAGGCUUAACACAUGCAAGUCGAGCGCCCAGCAAUGGGAGCGGCGGACGGGUGAGUAACACGUGGGAACAUGCCUUUCGGUACGGAACAACUGCGGGAAACUGCAGCUAAUGCCGUAUGCGCCCUUACGGGGAAAGAUUUAUCGCCGAAAGAUUGGCCCGCGUCUGAUUAGCUAGUUGGUGAGGUAACGGCUCACCAAGGCUUCGAUCAGUAGCUGGUUUGAGAGAACGACCAGCCACACUGGGACUGAGACACGGCCCAGACUCCUACGGGAGGCAGCAGUGGGGAAUCUUGGACAAUGGGGGAAACCCUGAUCCAGCCAUGCCGCGUGAGUGAUGAAGGCCUUCGGGUUGUAAAACUCUUUUACCAGGGAAGAUAAUGACUGUACCUGGAGAAUAAGCCCCGGCUAACUUCGUGCCAGCAGCCGCGGUAAUACGAAGGGGGCUAGCGUUGUUCGGAAUUACUGGGCGUAAAGCGCGCGCAGGCGGUUCUUCAAGUCAGGGGUGAAAGCCCAGAGCUCAACUCUGGAAUUGCCUUUGAAACUGUAGAACUUGAGUACGAGAGAGGUGAGUGGAAUUCCCAGUGUAGAGGUGAAAUUCGUAGAUAUUGGGAAGAACACCGGUGGCGAAGGCGGCUCACUGGCUCGUUACUGACGCUCAGGCGCGACAGCGUGGGGAUCAAACAGGAUUAGAUACCCUAGUAGUCC
rnacentral:rRNA from 1 species